rnacentral:rRNA from 1 species
AACGAACGCUGGCGGCAUGCCUAACACAUGCAAGUCGAACGAGCCCUUCGGGGUUAGUGGCACACGGGUGCGUAACGCGUGGGAAUCUGCCCUUGGGUUCGGAAUAACAGUGAGAAAUUACUGCUAAUACCGGAUGAUGUCUUCGGACCAAAGAUUUAUCGCCCAAGGAUGAGCCCGCGUAGGAUUAGCUAGUUGGUGGGGUAAUGGCCUACCAAGGCGACGAUCCUUAGCUGGUCUGAGAGGAUGAUCAGCCACACUGGGACUGAGACACGGCCCAGACUCCUACGGGAGGCAGCAGUGGGGAAUAUUGGACAAUGGGCGAAAGCCUGAUCCAGCAAUGCCGCGUGAGUGAUGAAGGCCUUAGGGUUGUAAAGCUCUUUUACCCGGGAUGAUAAUGACAGUACCGGGAGAAUAAGCUCCGGCUAACUCCGUG